UACAGAGGGUGCGAGCGUUAAUCGGAAUUACUGGGCGUAAAGCGUGCGUAGCCGGUUAUUUAAGUCGGAUGUGAAAGCCCCGGGCUCAACCUGGGAAUUGCAUUCGAAACUGGCAGGCUUGAAUAUGGAAGAGGGUCGCGGAAUUCCCGGUGUAGAGGUGAAAUACGUAGAGAUUGGGAAGAACACCAGUGGCGAAGGCGGCUAUCUGGACGGUUACUGACGCUGAGGCGCGAAAGCGUGGGGAGCAAACAGG
rnacentral:rRNA from 1 species